UAUCAAACGUUAUUUUAUUGUGUGUUUUGAGAUAAAGGCGAAUUCUUGAGAUUACGAUUUUUUUUUAUUUGCGAAUACAUUUAACUCAUGCCUCAGCGAUGAACACAACAAUACAAUUUUUAUUUGUCCGAAUUUCCAUAAAAUGAUUAUUUUUAUGAGUGUAUGCCAAUUUGUGGAAAGAUUUAAUGAAAAUAGGUGUCAGCGUUGGACAUGAGUAUUUCGGCGAGUGUGUAUAGGUUAACAAAAAAAUUAUCGAUUUUCGUAAAAUAUUUCGCGAUAAUAUCAUACGUCUGAUUUGGGUAUUAUAGAAAUUACUUUGAUAUUAGUCAUAAAGUGCGGAUGAAUGGACAAUGAUUAACGGCGUUACUACACAUUACAUCUGAGAAUUUUGUUCCAUUAGCGCUUUAGUGCAUAAUGUGCGAUGAUCGACCUCUUUAAUUGCAUUUUAGCUGAGGAAAAUAAUUCAACUUUGAAACACGGAAGCGACUAUU